UUUCCGUAGGUGAACCUGCGGAAGGAUCAUUCAUAAUAAGUGUUUUAUGGCACUUUUUUAAAUCCAUAUCCACCUUGUAUGCAAUGUCAGGGUUGAUUUUUCUCUCGAGAGGAUCAACCCCAAACAUAAACUAUAUCUCAACUCUUUGUCUGAAAAAUAUUAUGAAUAAAACAAUUCAAAAUACAACUUUCAACAACGGAUCUCUUGGCUCUC
rnacentral:misc_RNA from 1 species